CAGCAGCCCGCGCAGCAGCCCGCGCCUUCUCCUGGCCCAGCUGCUCGGUUCCUCCUUAGUCUCGGUACCCUCCGCCUUUCUUCCAUUCCUUUGGUUCCUCUACUUCCUCUCCAGGUCUUGCGCGCCAUCUAUAUUACCUUCCUGGGUAAACUCCGUUCUUUUCUUCUUGGUCACCAAAACCACAUGCUAAGUCUUAAUUAGCUCUUCUAAAAGAAAGCAGCCACUUCUGCGCCUCAGCACUCUCCACAGUACUCUAUUGCGUUGUGCAUAAAACACUCUCUCAUCAGGAGCUUGCCGGCCCCGGAUCCAUUUAGGUGAGCCGUUUGUGGAGAGCACAGGAUGAGUUCGAAGUCCAGCGUGAGAGGCACUGGGCAGAAGCACCCUGUGGUGCGACCAGGCCUGUAGUUUUAAUCUGGGCUUUGCAUUACUAGUAGAAGAGUGAAGGUGGGCUGAGGAGGAGACACUUGAGCAAGGACUUGACAUCUUUCAAGCGUCUGGCAUCUUUUGUGGUUCUGUGGGUUUCCUCAAAUGUCCUGUCCUUGAACAUCCUCAUCGCGUUCUGUACUCUCCUUUGCAGAUUCACUGUCAGCUUGUCUAUUAUUUCUACUGCCAUCUGGAAGAGACUUAUUCUUGAAUCCUUAUCUCCACUUGAGACAACAGAAUCAAUAGCUGGACCCUGUGUUAUAAAUGGCAGGGUUUGAAAUGCAUGGGGUCAGGGCCCCUGGAGGCCAAGAUCACAUCCACCCCUUUAGGAGGCUGCUGCACCCUCCAGGCUGCGGAUGGGGAUGGGAGGGAGGCAGGUGUGGACGUGCAAAGAAGUGGAGAGACACGGGUGUAUCUGCAAGACACAGGGAGGCGCACUGGGUUUCUGUUUGUUUUGCUGUUGGUGGAUGGUCAGAUAUGUUUCAGUCAGGUGAGAGUUUGAGAUUUUGACAUUUGGAUGAAAAUGUGAAAUCAUCCAUUGGACAGCUAACGUAGGGAUCUGGAAAUCAUCAGUGUGGCACCCAAACCAUGAGACUGUAUAAAAGUCAACUAGGGAGUGAGGACAAGGGACCCAAGUCUGAGCACUGGGCCUCAGUUUAAAAAAUAAAUUAGGAGGAAAAUAAAGAGGAAAUAUUGAGCAUCGUUCAUGGCAGGUUGCAAGCACUCAAUAAUGUCACCUUUAGUUUUCACUAAUCUGUUCCAGCUCUUUAACCUCAGCCUUUAUCCAAAUGUAACUGGUUAUAAUCUAUUUCCAUUCCUUUGACUUACGCUGAUGCCUUUACUGGCAAGACCUGCGUCCUCUUGCUAUAUCCCCUCUGUGCUGCCCAUCCUUGAACAAGGUUCAGUGCCUGGAAACCUUCCGAACCGUACUUCGUCAGUCCACCCUCCAGGCUGGUCUCUCCCCAGUUUGGGAUGACUAGGAACACGGCAAAGACCAUGAAACAUAAGCACCGUGAAUGGAUUCAGGACAUCGGGUCGCAGCCUCAACAGUGCGACUAAAUACACUCCCAGGAAAGGACUUCCAGAACUGCUCUAGAAAAUGGCAAGAGUGACGGCCUAAGUAUGAGCCAAGUGAGAGGGCUUGAAGGCAAUGUGUCUUUUACUGUAAUACAUUCAAAAGCAUUUUCAGCAUUCACCAUAUUUAUUGAUCACGCUUCUCUCUGCAUCCACCUUAUCCACUGGACAUGGCCCUGGGCAACCUGUACCGCUUCCCCAAAGGCAAAGACCAUGAAACAUAAGCACCGUGAAUGGAUUCAGGACAUCGGGUCGCAGCCUCAACAGUGCGACUAAAUACACUCCCAGGAAAGGACUUCCAGAACUGCUCUAGAAAAUGGCAAGAGUGACGGCCUAAGUAUGAGCCAAGUGAGAGGGCUUGAAGGCAAUGUGUCUUUUACUGUAAUACAUUCAAAAGCAUUUUCAGCAUUCACCAUAUUUAUUGAUCACGCUUCAUACAUCUAACCUCCCCCAAGUUCCUAGACAGCAGUAUCUUGAAUUUGUUUCAUUCCCCCUUACUUCACAGUUGCAUUAAAAUAUUCCUCCAAACUGGAAAAACCAGCUAUCUAAUUUGUCUUUCUUCUUCUGGGAACAAAGCUCAAGAUCUGAUACCUCUCUGGGGACAAAUCUUGUUUCUUUUGAGCCUCACCUCAAAAUAGGGCACACUAUAAGUGGACUGUACCAUUAAGAAUUGAAAUAAAAUUCACAAGUUACUUGUUGA